rnacentral:antisense_RNA from 1 species
UGCAUUUUCAGACCCAGAACCGUUGCCUGCCUCAGUGCCACCCACAUGGGGGCUGUGGUUACCAGUCUGGAGGGAGCUCCGGGAGAGGCUGACAGAGUGGGCCCCCAUGUGGAAGAAAGAAGCUCCAAAAUGAAUCACAACUGGCGGGUCUGACCUCGGGCCUUUGCAGAUGCUGUUCCCCUGCCUGGAGCGCACUUAUCACGAGCCCCCCAUCCCUGUGGCCGGAAUGUCAAAGGACAAUGACUACUUUGUGGGUUUCCGUAUAGCUCUCCUUUCCCACCCAUUCCCUGGGAUGCUCACUGGGGAAAGAGACCAGGGCUCUCUGCUGAAGCAGCAGUGCCUGAAGCACAGGAGGCCCUCCAUUCAGUGAUGAGAUGCCUCAGCAGCCCCCACACACCUGGGAUGAGUAUCAAGCCAUGUAGAAGAGUCCCCAUGGAAAGGAACUGAGUUCCCAGCUGACAGCC